UCCAGGCUCCGGGUCCGAGGGCCUGGGGAGUCGCGCGGCGAUCGAUGGCCAAGAGCAGCUCCCUCCGAUCACCCUUCAGGCCUCAGCUUAAAAGUCACUUCCUCACAAACGACUCUCCCAUCCAGCGGUCUAAAGGAGCUUUUCCUUUCCUUAGUGCUAAACAUUACAAUUCUGUUGAGCUUCAAGACAAAUGGCCAACUUGAAAAAAGAGAUAAAUGACAAGUGAAAAACGUCGAAUUUUGCACACGUAAAUAUUUAACCUCAAUUACAUUAAUAGCAAAAGUACUUUACUUCACUGUUUGGCACACAGAAGAUUUUCAGGGAGUGUCUGGAGGAACUGAAUCAGGUCUUUGCAGAUCCGCUGGUUCCUGAGUGAUAAUACACAGUGCUGGCUGUCAGGAGACAGUCUCCUUGUUUAUUAGCAAUGACCAGCUUGGAUGACAGAUGGCAUCUGCUGGAUGGCAAGUGGGAGAUGGG